GUGCUUGAUUUGGAAGCACAUAUACUAAAUGUGGAUUGAUACAGAGAAGAUUAGGAUGGCCCCUGUGCAAAGAUGACAGGCACAUUUGCGAAGCGUCCCAUAUUUUA